AGUGAACGCUGGCGGUAGGCCUAACACAUGCAAGUCGAACGGCAGCACAGUAAGAGCUUGCUCUUACGGGUGGCGAGUGGCGGACGGGUGAGGAAUACAUCGGAAUCUACUUUUUCGUGGGGGAUAACGUAGGGAAACUUACGCUAAUACCGCAUACGACCUACGGGUGAAAGCAGGGGAUCUUCGGACCUUGCGCGACUGAAUGAGCCGAUGUCGGAUUAGCUAGUUGGCGGGGUAAAGGCCCACCAAGGCGACGAUCCGUAGCUGGUCUGAGAGGAUGAUCAGCCACACUGGAGCUGAGACACGAUCCCGACUCCUACGGGAGGCAGCAGUGGGGAAUAUUGGACAAUGGGCGCAAGCCUGGUCCAGCCAUACCGCGUGGGUGAAGAAGGCCUUCGGGUUGUAAAGCCCUUUUGUUGGGAAAGAAAAGCAGCAGGUUAAUACCCCGCUGUUCUGACGGUACCCAAAGAAUAAGCACCGGCUAACUUCGUG
rnacentral:rRNA from 1 species